CUGGCAUUGGCCGGCAUGUCUGGGUAACAAGUUAAUCCUUCUCAUGCUCCAUGCAUGGCAGAAUGCCAUCCACUUUCUGCUUUAGGGCUGCUGCAGCCCAUCUGCCCUCUGCAUCACUGGAGCAUGGCUACUGUCUGCCGAUCUUGUUGUGACCAGCUUCUGCCUCACCAUGGUGGUGGUGUGUUCAUUACUUGGCCUUCAAUGUCUCCUGUGUUUUCUGUCACGCUGCAUGACACAGAGUUGCUGACAGCCCAUGGAUGGACACUUGUCAGAACUGAAAUGCAAUUGGCAUUUUUUGAAUCACGUUAAUCUACCACAUUGGGGUGGAAAACCCAAACACCUGGUUAAGACACCUAACUUCUAUUUGCUGUAAGUGUUGUAAAUUUGUUCUAGUUGCAUUUGUUUCUUUUCGUCUUGCACAAUUUCAACAAGAGUAGAUCAAAGCAAGUUAUUUCAUGUAAUGUGACCUUUUUCUGUCAAGCAUUUUGGGUGCAAAUGAAACUAGACAUGAUAGUGUCAUAUAUCUAUCACACAGCUUCUGCAGCAUCAAUUAAUCUUCCCCUAUGGAGAUCUAAAAAUAACAGCAUGAAAGAUUCAUUGAGUAUGACAAAAUAUAACUCAUAUGAAAGUCUUCUCUAGAGCAGCAGAGUUAACUGGUUUCUGUGAGGGUUAUUUUACCAAGAUUUCAUCUUUUCUGCAUUUAUUUCUCACAGUUCUCACUGAAAACUUAAUAACAUUAUUCAUGAAAAUUGCUUCAUUUCAAGUUACUGGCUUUUGUGUUUAACUCAGUGCCUACAAGCACACACACAACAGUAAAUACAUCUUUUGGAUUUAAAUACUUAAAAAAAAAAAAAAAAAAAAAAAAAAAGAGGUUUUAGAGAUAGGAUUUGACUGUUAUUAAGAAGGAAAAACCAUGAAAAGGCUUUAAUUGUGCUAUGUAUGUAUGUAUGUGUGUGUACAUAUUUAUUUAUUUAUGAGUUAUUUCCCAGACUAAACCUAAGUAUUGUGUUUUGGAUCAGAUGUUAAGGACUAGAGAGCCAGUUUUGUCCUAAAUCACAGUUUUGAUUUUAUGAUGGCUGAAAUUCAUUCAUGUUGUGAAGUUUGUUUUAAACAACUGGAAUUUUGCUCCUUUUUACCUAAUGAUCUCUCCUUUGUUUUGUCUGUACACAUGUAACCAGGCAAAGAGCUGUAGUUUUUGUCAGAAACAAAUUCUGAGCAGAGUAGAAAUAAGUGAGUAGCAGGAGCUAGUAGGAAGCAGGCUGGAUGAAAAAUCAAAGCAGCCCUGAUGAGAAGGACCUGAGGGUAUUGG
rnacentral:lncRNA from 1 species